rnacentral:misc_RNA from 1 species
GAACCAAACUCAGUUGUGUACGUAAAUUUUGGUAGCAUCACUGUAAUAAACCCACAACAAAUGGUAGAAUUUGCUUGGGGGCUAGCCAACAGCAAGAAACCCUUUUUGUGGAUAAUAAGACCGGAUCUUGUGGUUGUCGAAGGUGCCAUGUUGCCACCCGAAUUUGUGUCUGAAACUAAGGAUAGAGGCAUGUUAGCGAGCUG